UUUUUUUUUUUUUUUUUUUUUGUCAUCUGGGAUCUUGCUGAAUGUCUGAGUACUGUGUUAAGCCCCGGGAGGCUCUAGGACAUUCAACCAGUCUGUGACCCCAGGGAAGUGUUCCAUUGCCCACUGCAACUGCAGACCAUGGAUGCCACAAAUCAUUUAUAUGGACCUCCCAACACUGGUAGGACUGUAUUUGUGUUGGGGGAGGAGGUGGCACUCAAAUCCUGAACAACCAUUCACCAGAAUCCAUCUGAUUGUCCAGGUCCCUGAAUCCUAGAGUGGUGCCGAUGUCUUACAAUUUAUGAAUGAAUGUAUUAGACAAGAGGUAAUCUUUAAGUUCCUUUUAAGGCCUAAUCCAUUAAGCUAUAUUUAGACCAUCAGACUAAUCAUCUGGUUUUUAUGACAUUAUUUUGUUACCAACUUUAGAUCCAGGUUUGUUCUGCUUGCAUGCAGUAAACCAAUCACUGUGAUACGGGUUUUGCAAAAGAGAAAAGAUUUAUUCACAAGGCUGCCAAGCAAGAAAGCAGGAGAACAGUGCUCAAAUCCACCUUCCCAAAGAUAAGCCUUAGCUAUAUUUACGGGUUAGGGAAGUGGGGUGGUCUAAGGCAUGGGGAAAAGUAAUUGACAGUGGGGAUAAAAGUAACAGGUUUAUUCUGUGCAAGCAUAGCCAGGGUUCAUGACAUUACAUAGGACAUAUAAACCCAAAAUAGUGGCAUUAGCAUGAUCUGAGGGUGGCAUUUUUGGUCUUCUGACAUUCAGAAGGCCAUUUCUCAGGCACUUGUGGAGGCCUAGUUGAAGAGCCAGUGGCCUUAACUGGUUUGAACUGGACAGGAGCUGGCCCAAGUUCCUGAAAAACAACUGAAGCAAUCAUUACUGUGGUGAACUAUGAAUGUUAUUUAUAAAGUAGCCAGUGAAGGUUAAGUUUCAGAGUUCAGCAGGGUGGCAUUCAACUACUGUAGCCUUCAGCUUCAUGAAAAAAGAAAAGAAAUAACAAAAAGCAAGCCACCAAAAGCAAGCAGGGCGGACAGACCUGAUCAAAUUAACCCUUCAGUUUCCAUUUUGCCUGCGGUUUGGGGUUCUUAGAUACUAAUACAGAUUAUUUCACUUUUUACACUAUAUGGGAUGUUUUUUUCCCAAAACAGUAUAUUUUUACAAUUUCAGUCAUAUUUGAAGUGCCCUAAGAUAGCUUCUCAAUUAAUUCCUUUAAUACAUUUUUUACUUGGCAUCUACUAUGUGCCAGACACUGUAGAACAUUGUGAAAGACAGACAUGCUGUUUGCUUCCAAAAAACUCAUGUGUUAGUGAGGACAACAGGGAAUAAACAAUACAAAUAUAAUAUCAUAUCAGGAAGUGAUAAAAAGAAAAAUAAAGCAGAUUAAAGAGUGAUGAAAGAGGCUUACUAUUUUAGAUAAGCUGAUUAGGCAAGGUCCCUGGCAGGGUGACUGAAUUUUGGAAUAACUAACUACUCACAUAUGUAUAUAAUAUUUAUUAGUUAACUUUUACUGUUAAGAUUUUUCAGUAUUUUCAGUGCAUCAUAUUUUUUAUUCCUUUGCCUGAUUUAACAUAGAUAUCCUAUUAUAAAAGUAUCUAUGAUUCCAGCUUUUCCCAUAAACCAUAUUGUAAUGAUUUUCUGUUUCAAACCCUUUGGGACAACCUUUUAAAAUAUAUCAUAUUCCUUAAGUAUUUCCAUAUUGUUAGAUACUUAAAUUAUUUCUAGUUUCUUGCUAUUAUAGAUAACAUUGAUGUCAACCUCAUUUUAAAAUAAAUCUUCAAAAAUGUUUGAAGUA
ensembl:lncRNA novel transcript